UACGUAGGGGGGCAAGCGUUGUCCGGAAUCAUUGGGCGUAAAGAGCGUGUAGGCGGUCCGGUAAGUCGGCUGUGAAAGUCCAGGGCUCAACCCUGGGAUGCCGGUCGAUACUGCCGGACUAGAGUUCGGAAGAGGCGAGUGGAAUUCCCGGUGUAGCGGUGAAAUGCGCAGAUAUCAGGAGGAACACCGAUUGCGAAGGCAGCUCGCUGGGACGUUACUGACGCUGAGACGCGAAAGCGUGGGGAGCAAACAGG
rnacentral:rRNA from 1 species